GAAUAUGUUCCUUUCACCUUCUUGCUCUAAUGACAACCCAGCUUUCCCUAUGUGAGCAGUAUUAUUUCUUCUGUAUUCUUCAAGGAGUUGAAGGUUAGUUAGCUGUAUAACUAAGUAGCAAUGCUGCCAGUCUCCUUCAAAGAAAA
rnacentral:snoRNA from 1 species